GCCAGUGUUGCUAUUUACUCUACCGAGUUGAGCUUUCUUCGUGUUCUGCUAAUGUUGCUCCACCCUGGUGGGAAGGUACUCGAGUGGGGAUGGCCAGGUACUUCUAGGGUUGGCAUUCACUCAGAAAUGUUGGUUGCUUGUUUAAUCAAAUCAGAGCAGGAGAUGACAGAUAUCCUUUUGGGGUGGGAUGGGAUUCAGAUGUGUCAGUAGGAUGUUAGAUGUGCUGUCUUAGGUUUGGACUGUCUUAUUGUUUCUUGGGCUUUUAGCCAGCUCUGUCUAAAGGGAGUCACUGUUUUCCCAUUAAGAAUAUUUUUUCCACAAUUGCUGAGAACUUUUCCUUUAUAAUGUAGGAGGCUCGCUCUUGGAUCUCAGACAUUUAGGGAGGGUCAUGCUGUGUUUUGAGGACAACAACAAAGAUUUCUUUAUAUUUACUGCAGACUCAAGACUUUGAAAGUCGAAGUAUUACUGUUAGCAAUUUCCAAGGCAGCUCCCACAUUUGUAGCUAUCAGAGCAAAGAAAAACUUGGUGGAAAACAGUUUUGGCUCUCCAUGCAGUGCUUUUAAGGAAAAGUGGUGUUAAUCAGUAUUUACAAUGCUUAUUUCAUGGCCAGACUCCCAGUUCCCUUCAUGACACUGCCCUACGGUACAGUUUCCACUGACGGCAACUGUCUGGUAUGUGGGAGGAGCUCACAUAUGCCUUGAAUGAGCUGUGCCUUUGCCUUGGGGGUUUUUAUUAUUUUUGUAGCCUUCCUUUUGACAAGAGGUCAUUUACAAUGAGAUACUGUCAGGAAUUCCAGAUGAGUCUCACAUACUGAGACUACACUCCUAGUGUCCAAACACUCCUUUGUUAUUGUCUCUUUAACAGGAGGAGGUGGUAACGUUUGAGUAUUGAUUUCAACGCCUGCUUUUAUGAUCAUAAUUGCAUUCCAAAUGCACACGUACUCAGAGGGUAAAUGGAUUAACUUUGAAUUCUGUAGACAAAUCCUGAACUUACCAAAUGACUGGGAACCGUAGUAGGUUCUUAGAUUUAACUCUCCCCGGCUUUAUUCUUAGCUCCUGUGGAGCCUUUGCCUUGCUGAGCAAUGUGGGAUUGUAUGUUAACAGUUACUUCAUUGCUGUUGACCUGGGAAAGCAGGGUCACCCUCAUUUUCUGUAAUCUCAGCAGCAAAACAUCGUUAGCCUCCGUGGACUGGGUAACACCUUAGCUCUUUGGUUAAUUAUCCUGUUUGGUAUUUUCUCUUUUAAAACCUUAAAACAUGUUUUUAGUUGAAACAGAAUUACAUCCGUCCCUCUCUUUCCUUCCUCCCAAGCUCUGCAUCUAUUGAUUGCCUUCCCCACCUCCAAGUUGAUAGCCUCAUUUUCUUUGAUUGUGCGAAACACUAAUUGUACCACACAACUCCUGGUUUUGCUUACUCCCUAAGCUCUGUUGUCAACCAUUUUGCUGUUUCCAUGAAUUUGACUAUUUGAAAAUAUAUACCACGUGAUGUAACACAGAGUGAUGUGUAAUAAGUGGUCCAAGAGAGAGAGAAACCCAGGUUCAAUCCCCAGCAGGUUCCGUUCCUCCCUCUAUAGUCCCCAGCCUCCCGUCCUGAGCAGUUCAUAAGUCUAGGACUCAAUUAGAGCAUGCCAUGUUCCCUGUAGUCUAGAGUCUGCAGAUCCGAUGGCGGCAGGUGUUAUCAACUUGCUAGAUACAACUAACUAUAAAGAGCUUCCUGUCUCUGGCACAGCUUUGCUAAGUUUAAGUGGUGAGGCUCACAUGAAAGUAUGUAUUUUGCAAGUUGUCAAGCUUGAUGUAGAAUGCAAUAUUGUCUUCUUUUAAAAGUUUAGGCUAUUGUUUUUGUUGUUUUGUUUGUUUGUUUGUUUUAAAGGGCCCAGUCCCUAUGUGCUAUUCCUUACCUGGUGGUUUAUCUUGUUUUGUGUAAAUAGGACCCACGAAUGCCUUGUUUUAGCAGCUUGGCUACAUUGCAUCUUGAUUUAAAAAAAAAAAAAUCAGUCACUUUUUAAAGACAUGUAUGAGUAACCACAGCUUUAUACAGGAGGGUUCUGGCAGUAUUUUAACACAUACUACUUUCAUCUUGAAGGACUCACACCUGGAGCCAUCCCUUGUUGUGCUGUGGGCGGUGCUGUGGGCGGUGCUGUGGGCGGUGCUGUGGGCGGUGCUAUGGGCUUGCUGUUUCUUUCUUAGGUCCUCUCUGAGUAGUCCAUGUGUAUCAUGUCUCUGAUUGGCUUUCCUCCUUUCCCCAGCCCAUAUUCUGAUUUUUCUUCUUUUACCUUCUAAUUUUGCAAGCUUUCUAACAACUUGCAAAUGGGAGGUAAGACUUCUGAGCUGCUGUAUACCUGAGAGUGUAACACUCAUGUAUAAUUGAUUGCCUGGCUAGGUGUAGAGUUCCUGGCUGGAAAUCACUGAGCUGUUGAUAGGAAGGGCGUUGCUCACCUCCUAGCAUUCCGGCUCCUUGUGAGAACACUAGCGCCUGCCGAUUCUCAGUUCUUUACAGGGUCUCUUCUAUUGUGUCUUUUGACAUCGUUCAUGAAAGCAUUCAGCAGUUUAAUGAUCACCUGCCGCGAUUGGGAUGUGCUUUUUCGGUUAUGUUUGUUUGUCUUUUGCUGGUGUCCAAAGAGCACUGUGAUGAUGAGUUUACCAAGGUGACAAAAACUAGGAGCAAUUGGGAAGAGAGCCUCCGAGAGGGAGGGGGUGGCUCCGGUUGGCGCUGGGCCUGUCUGCGGAGGAUUUUUCUUAAUUGGUUAACUGAAGCAAGAAAACCCAAUGUGGGCUGCACCCUUUGCUGGUGCGGGGUCUUGUUUAAGGAGAGACUUACUUAGCUGAGUACAGAGUAUGGUGUUUCUUCUCUCUGCUAUUGCUUUGUCAAGUGGCUGUUUAUCUUGAGUCCUCAGGCAGACUCACCUGCAGGGAGGGACUGUAGGUAGCAUGGAGUUGUGAGCCCUGCUUCUGUCUGCGCCUGGGCAGAGCUCAGAAAGGCACAGAGUUCACAGCACCAGGAAGGAGCCGCUCAUUCCUUUUGUUUUUAUGUUCCGGGCUGCAGUAUUGGCUUCCCUCAUUGUCUAUUCAGCUUCCUUCUGGACCUGCUGUAGGAUGUUUGACUUGCCUCUGAACGCCUCUUCCCAAAGAUAACUUACAUUUUUCUUGGAACCCUUCUAAAGUUGUUAAUUUAUCAGGUUUAUUUUAUUUUCAGUUGCUGAUAGCCCCUGAGUGGUCUCAUAAACUAAGUAGAUAUUCAGAGAUUAACUUUUUUACCUUUGAAAUUUUAUUUUUCUGCACCAUUUUUUGCUUCAAGUUGCACUUUUUCCCCUUUCUUUUGUCUUUCACGUUAGAUGUUUUAUAUGCCUGAUGGUUUUGGAAUGUCUUUUCUGAGGCAGAAUGGGGCUCCACAUAUUAGAAGAUGUGUCUUAUUUUGGUCUGCUAAGUCUAUUGUCUUCAUUUUUCACCUCUAAAACAUCUUGAAGAUUUUACUAUCUGGUUUCUGCUAUCUUUGUUCUAGAAGAUUUAUGCCUUUUUCAAAGAAAUAAUGGUUUUUGUGUUGAGAAUUUUGAAGAGAGGCACUAAAUGUAUUUGCUCAUUUAACUUAAAGUCCAUUUGGAAGUCUUAAAAACCUAAACCCAAACCAAAUAAACCAACGACAAAAGGAGGUCAGGAUUUGCAGCAUCAGGCUUUGGUCAAACGCACUUGCAGGGCGAGCAUCCACUCUAACUCUAUUUCAAGGUGUGGUAUACGUUUAGAUGGUCCCAGGAGAAUACUGGCUUCUUGUUAAGUCUGCAACAGCUGCCUCGCCUUUUUGGGCUCAAGGCUUUUUAUGUCAGGGCCUUAAGUACCAAUAAAUGUGUAAAUGAUAAUUAGGCCUCCUGAUU
rnacentral:lncRNA from 1 species